rnacentral:rRNA from 1 species
UGGGGAAUAUUGGACAAUGGGCGCAAGCCUGAUCCAGCAAUGCCGCGUGUGUGAAGAAGGCCUUCGGGUUGUAAAGCACUUUUCUCAGGAGCGAAAUCUGCAUGCUUAAUACGUGUGCAGCCUGACGGUACCUGAGGAAUAAGCACCGGCUAACUUCGUGCCAGCAGCCGCGGUAAUACGAAGGGUGCAAGCGUUAAUCGGAAUUACUGGGCGUAAAGGGUGCGUAGGCGGUUCGUUAAGUCUGUCGUGAAAUCCCCGGGCUCAACCUGGGAAUGGCGAUGGAUACUGGCGAGCUAGAGUGUGUCAGAGGAUGGUGGAAUUCCCGGUGUAGCGGUGAAAUGCGUAGAGAUCGGGAGGAACAUCAGUGGCGAAGGCGGCCAUCUGGGACAACACUGACGCUGAAGCACGAAAGCGUGGGGAGCAAACA